rnacentral:rRNA from 1 species
UGGGGAAUAUUGGACAAUGGGGGGAACCCUGAUCCAGCCAUGCCGCGUGUGUGAAGAAGGCCUUAUGGUUGUAAAGCCCUUUAAGCGAGGAGGAGGGUACUGGUAUUAAUACUACCAGCUACUGGACGUUACUCGCAGAAUAAGCACCGGCUAACUCUGUGCCAGCAGCCGCGGUAAUACAGAGGGUGCGAGCGUUAAUCGGAUUUACUGGGCGUAAAGCGUGCGUAGGCGGCUAAUUGAGUCGGAUGUGAAAUCCCCGAGCUUAACUUGGGAAUUGCAUUCGAUACUGGUUAGCUAGAGUGUGGGAGAGGAUGGUAGAAUUCCAGGUGUAGCGGUGAAAUGCGUAGAGAUCUGGAGGAAUACCGAUGGCGAAGGCAGCCAUCUGGCCUAACACUGACGCUGAGGUACGAAAGCAUGGGGAGCAAACAGG